GGUAGAGUUGUCGUCUACCAAUUGGAAGGUUGGUAGUCCGAUCCCUGGCACUGCAGUCUACAUGUCGAAGUGUCCUUGGGCAAGACACUGAAUCCCGAAUUACUCCCGAUGCUGCAC